AGCCAUCCCCACUCCUCCUCUUGUGUGCUUAUGCUUUGAUGUCUUCCAAUAUCCUGAGAACCUCAAGUCAAAAAGAAGAUCACCGGCAAUGUUCAAGACUGCACCGACAUACAUGUCCAUAAUUUGUUUUAGACUUUUUAUUUUUCAGCCAUUUAUUCAAAAAAUAAAGGAUGAUGUUGUUAACUGAGCAAAAUAGAAUGAAUCACUGCUUUGACCGUCUUCAACCUUGCGUCUAACUUUGACCCUCUGCCUGCUCACCUCCACCUGAUCUCAGUAACAGUCUUAACCACCUCCACACAAACCACAACCUUGCGUCUAACUUUGACCCUCUGCCUGCUCACCUACACCUGAUCGCAGUAACAGUCUUUAACCACCUCCACACAAACCACAAUUGCUGUAUUGAAAUGUUUUUGUAAGUGCCUGCAUAUUCAAUGCAUCAAAGGGUUGCAUCGAUUACAAGGUGUGAAUUGUACAGUAAAUUGAGUGAUUCACAACUGGAGAAAAAAACUGACACAGUUCCCAUAGUUCAAAUUAUAUAUUAUCAUUAUUAUCAGGUAUUUCCCAAGUUCAUCACACAAUUUAUGCAUCAUACAGUAUUCAUACCCUUUUAUUUCUAUAUAAUACAACUAAGAACAUUUGUACAGGGCUAAUAUUUAAAUGUUUAGAGCUAAAAAUAAUUAUAACAUUUGAAAUGUACUGACAAGCUAUGUACUGUACACUGUAUUAUACACUGAAUGUACAAAACAUUAUGCACACCUUCCUAAUAUUGAGUUGCAUCCCAGUUUGCCCUCAGAACAGCCUCAUUUCGUCGGGGCAUGGACUACAAGGUGUUGAAAGCGUUCCACAGUGAUGCUGGCCCAUGUUGACUCUUAAUGCUUCCCACAGUUGUGUGGUCAGCUGGAUAUCUUUUGGGUGGUGGACCAUUCUUGAUAUACAUGGGAAACUGUUGAGCGUGAAAAACCCAGCAGGGUUGCAGUUCUUGACACACUCAAACUGGUGCACCUGGCACCUGCUACCAUACCACGUUCAAAAGCAGGUACAUCUUUUGUCUUGCCCAUUCACUCUCUGAAUGGCACACAACAUCCAUGUCUCAAUUGUCUCAAGGCUAAAAAAUACUUCUUUAACCUGUCUCCUCCCCUUCAUCUACACAGAUUUAAGUGGAUUUAACAGGUGACAUCAAUAAGGGAUCGUAGCUUUCACCUGUCACCUGGUCAGUUUAUCAUGGAAAGAGUAAUGUUCCUAAUGUUUUGUACAGUCAGUGUAAAUUUGAAAAAUAUCUUUAAGCUUAAUCACUUGUUGCCUCCUAAACCAGUGUUCAUAUUUUCCACCACAAUUGUUUGUUUUGUUCCUUAAAAGUGCUUUCCUUUGUAAAAAAAAUCGAAAUUUCCAUAAUAUUGUCAUACAUAUUUUAUUAUUGCUUUGCAUGUCUGAUCCCCCUUUAAAUGACAUUCAGCUUAUCUUAUGAAGGCUUCAUAAAGCCUUCAUAAGCACUACAUAAAUGUGUUACAAAGUAUCUAGCACCGUAUGUCAUGCUUUGUAAAUGGUUCAUAAAUGUGUCAUAAUCACCCAUGUCAAAUGUGACAUAACCCUCUAUGUGGAAUAUGAUAGCAACAUGUGCUUUAUAAAGGGAGACAUGUUGGGUCAAGGGAUUGGAAUACGCUCUAAAGUGAAGUCAUGUUAGUCACAUUACACCUAAUCUCAUUCCCAGACACAUCCGCCCAAAUAUGCGGAAGGUCUGCUUGACCAACACAUUAAACUUGGCCUUCAUUAGUUAGGGUUAGGUUUAAAAUCUUAUUUUAAGAAGAUCAAUUGUGGAAAUGGGCAGGGUUUAGCAAUAAUUAUGACUUUUUAACUGUGUUAACUAGUGAUGAUGACAAGUACUUUAUUCUGUAAGGUCACUCCUAUAGAAUUCUGUGGUCACUCCACUAAGGCCAGCUUUGAAUGGUUGAUAUCACAGGCUUAAAUGUGUGGUGUGUUCAAUAGUCUAGGGACGACAUUACACCAAGAAACACUGACCUUUAUGAAAGCCCCCAACCUAAAAACAUUGAAAAUGGCUGUCUUCUGGCGCCAAUUUACAUGUUCCUGAGUACACGCACACACAAAAACAAGCCAUACCGUGCGUUGUUGCGCCCAUCAGGUCUUUGCAAGUCCAUCAGCCCAUUUAAAUACCUCUUACAUCCUACAGUAACCUUUGGAUCAUGAUAGAACCUUCAUAAUUCAGUUGAACGUUAAUAACCUAUUUAUUGACACUGUAGUGUCCUGUAAUACUUGCAUAGUCCUGUAAAGACUCUAUUUUGCAUGACGCUGUACUCAAGUCAGACCCCUUUGGUGAUUUAUAACACAUACAUAAAUGCCUUGUAUCAUAUGGAGCUGUACUGACUAUAAAGUCAGACACCUAUGGUCAUUCAUAACAGACCCAUAAAGGCUUAAUGAUGUAAACACAAAUGUAUUAACACUUAAGAAAUUAUCACUAAAAGCUAAAACAAAUAAACAUUAAAGACAAAUACAUUAAGUUUCAAAAAGUCCAGCAAAGCAAUUAUAUUGAACAUUACACAGGACUGUGAAUACUGUAGCCUGUCCCUGAGCUAGUGGAUUGAUGGUUCUUGCCUCUCUGCCUGCUGGAGGUACUGCAUGUUGGUUCCAACCUUAAAAGUAACAACAAAGAAAGUUAGCAUGUCUGUUUUUCUGUGCAGCGCCAGAAACUCUAAAUGGGGAGAUGGGAAACUCCAUUUGAUUCUUAUUAUUCUAUUAUUUAAUGUACAAAUGUGAUGACAUGACUAUGAGACAUGUCUGUAUCUAAGAUUUUUAUUUAGCUGAGCCUGCUAGCUAGGAACAUUUUGGCUAGCUAGCAAUUGCUGUGAAGUUACUGAAAUUAUUUGAAAUAACGACUGAGGUAGCUACAGUAUGGAAUUUAACUCAACUCUAGUCAUUUAAAUUACAAUGAAUGAAGGUUAACUUGUUUAUCACUGUCCAGUGGCACGACAAUUGGGCAUUUUGAUUUGCAAACUCAUCACAUGAUCAGCAUCUUGUCGGUAACGCUAAAAAAUACUUCCGGGUCACGGAAUUUAGGAAUUCUUCCAAAUAAAAGUACGUCAUGUAUUGAAUUCAUAGUAUAAAAGUGUCAAUAAUCUGUAUUCAUGAUAAUAUGAAAAAUAGUUGUCUAAACAUUAACAAUGAUUCAUAUAUGUUCAUAUAUAAGUGACAUUUGUAUUACAUUUGGAAUGCGAAUCACUGUACAUUGGUGGUCAUAAUGCUAAUCACUGCACAUAAUCAUCACAUGUGCGAUUGUUCCGUAACAAAAAGCCCUCUAACCAAACAACAAUGCAGGGCAUGAGCACUGAAUUCAAGGGCAACUACACUCAAAAUAUAUGUUUCUUAGAUUUUUCACAUACUUCAAAAGUCAUCCCCUGAUGCGGCUUAAGCUUUGUGGUGAAGACAGAAAAUCAAAUGUUUUGUGAACCUUCAAUUUAAUAUGAUUUAUAAAGCCUUUAUUAAGCUGUGCUUAUGCCAUCGUUUAUAAAGUACAGGUUUGUCAUAUUUGACAUCGUGGGUUAUGUCACAUGUGAGAUUGGUGGUUAUGUCACACAGAGUUAUGCCACAUUUAUGAACCCUUUAUAAAGCAUGACAUAUACUUGUAGAUGAUUUGUAACACAUGUAUGUAGUGUUUAUGAAGCCUUUAUAAGCUGCAGGACAUUUAACUUGGUUGAAAAUAUAAAUAGUUGUAUCCAUUUGAGAAUACAUUUUUGGUUGUGAAGCCUUUUAAAAAUGUUUGAAGGAUUUACUUUAAAGUUGGGUUUUCAAGCAUGCUUACAAUGGUGUUUUGAAAGGGUGACAUUGUAUUUUAAUGUAACCCCUAACAGAAUGUAAAUAAACUUAUGAGGCAUCAACACAAAAGUCCAUGCAAUGUCUUGAGUAAUUAAAUGUUUUUCCUGAUGCAAAUAUGUUCGCAUGUAGAUAAUUACACUCAAACAAUAUCACAUUUCAGGGAAGACCCAGA
ensembl:lncRNA